GCCAGGAUAGCUCAGUUGGUAGAGCAGGGCUUUCGUAAAGCUCAGGUCGUGGGUUCAACUCCCUCUCCUGGCU
rnacentral:tRNA from 1 species